CUCACAAACCGUGAGAUUGUGACCUGAGCCAAAGUCAGAUCCUUAACGACUGAGCCACCCAGGCACCAUGUAUUGUAUUUUUAAGGGCUAGACUAUAGAUUCUUUCAUAUGAACAUAACAUUUCUGGAAGAAUACCUGAACUUCUAUGAUUUCUUCUAAGGGAUGAGACUGGGGUGGAGGAUGGCAGGGGACUAGAGGUGUCAGCUUUCUCUUUGGACCCUUCUGUAUUGUUUCGGUUUUUGGUUUUGGUGGUUUUUGUUUUCAUUUUAAGUAUAAGCAUAUUAUUUUUGUAAUAUAGAUAAUUACUUUAAAAUUAAAAAUAAUCUAUGCUGGCUUUUACUUCAAAUUAUAGGACUGGACUUUCCUAAAUAUCUUAGGGGAGAUAUAAUUGUUAUCCUAAUUAUUAUUAUAUGCUCUUCUCACUUCUAAGAGAAAUUAAGAGCAAUCCGAGGCUCCUUGUGGGAUUUAACACUCUGUUAAAGCUACCAAUGCAAUUAAUAUGUGCUUGGAGCUGGUAGCAAAACACCGGGGCUCAAAUCAGAGCAAGAAGGUGGGGGUUUCUGAUGUAUGCAGCCUCAGUUCUAAUGGGUCAAACUAGGCUAUACCCUGGCAUCCCCUUCUUUGUCGUCUUUACUGGAAAUAUCUUGGACCUGGAUCCAAGACCCCCUCAAAGCCAGGGCUUUCCCUUCGGUAUAUGGUUGGGCCUCCUGCCGGGCUAGGCCAGGCCACACACAAGGCCAGAAAAAUCUGCUGAAUUAUAUUGCAUAGAAGCCUGGAUUCACAGUGAUAACACUUCAACAAGAGUUAUGUUUUCCACAGGGGCCAUUCUGAGAUUUUGGGGGAAUAAUGGUACGUCAGUGCUUGGGAAAAGCCAAGAUGCUUUUUUGAGAUUAAAAUAAUAAAAUAAAGUAAAAUAACAUAGAAUUCUCACUGUGCCUGUAUUCACCACAUCUGUUGCUUGGGCUGAAGCGAAUUGGCUUCUUGUCUGGCUGAAAAUAAUGAUGGCUUGCCUCUCUCAUUUCUGUUGUUUGAUACCAGAAGUCAGCAGGGCUGAUAUGUUAAAAAUUCCAACAGAGUAGGUGGGGAGGAAGGUGAGGCCCAGGAGAUCACGGCUUGCCCAGGAUUGGAGCAGGAUAGAAGCGGAUCAUUUGACUGGAAAGGUCAGUCCUUCUUUCUCCUCACCUCGCACCUUACGUGGUGCUCCACUUAGAGUGGUGUGGCUUUUCAGAUGUUCUGUUCUACUGAUUCUCACCACUCCUGUGGGGCGGGCCGAGCAGACAUUGUGUGCCCACUGAGCACCCAGGAAGCAGAAGCACAGAGCAGUGCAGAAUUUACCCAAGAUCACACAGCAAACUAAGGGCAGGGAUGUGAACCUGUCUUGACUUUCUAUCUAAAUUUGUUCUGUGAUUACGGAGCACUGGCACUGUAUGUGACCUUAUGAGGGAAUCAGCAAAUCUUGUCCUGCCUUCCCAAACCAGCUGCUGGUUCUCUGGAGCAAUGCCUUCGCUGGCUUCCUUUUUCACAGUACUGUUUAUAAAAAGGUCACUAGGAGAAUUGAUCAGAGCAUUUUGGCAUUAAAGAGCCUGUUCACGUUGUCGCUCAACACAUCGUCUCUACAAGGUCUCGCGUGAUGAGUUCUUGAUUGGGUUCAGAUCCAGGAAAUGACGUGUCUUUGAUCAUUGAUAGACUUUCUUCCCGCUAGAGAACGUGACCGUUCAACUCUGCUGGUUUCUGUCUCAGCCAGGAGCCUCAACAACCGAGCAGGGACCUGACUCCAGUUAUCGGCCAUCUCUAGGGUCCUGUAAAGGCUUCUUUCCUCUAGACAGCCUUUGUUCUAUCGCUGAAUGUCUUAUUUCAAAUAUCAUUUUAAUGUGUAUAGCAGAUGCCCACAGUUGCCUUGGAAGGAAGCUAGAUAUAAAUCAUUAAAAAACGAAGAUUGGAGACAGUUUGCUCUGCAGCUCCCAAGGAAAUCAGGGAAGGCCCAUAGAAUCUGGCCCUGGAGUUACUGGCUGUUCCCAGAUCAGGGAGACUGAAACCCUGUGUGCUUGAGGACCGUGUGAUUUCACUCCCUUCUGUGGAAUUCUGUCUCUUUGCUCUGGGUCUGAACACUGCACGGUCGCUACAGUCACACUCUGUGAUGUUUUUGGUUGGAAUAUGAUUUUGAGAUACCUUCAAAUCAUCCACAUUUUCUCUCUUAAAAUGGCAAAAGCUAGCUCCAAAUGGAUUAUGCGGUAUAUUCAUUCAUAGACAUGCAGAGUGGAACUUACAAUAUAUAGGGUUAAAUGCUUUGUGUUGCUUCUGUUUCUAGAACCUGAAAUCUGGCCACUGUUUCCCUCCCUAAGGGUCUGGGGACCCAAGUUAAGAUGCUGUGCUCCCUGGAAGGCCUCGCUUAGGGGGAGUUGGAAAGAAGUGGAAGACCAGAUUCCUGCUCUCAAGGCACUUACAGUGCCUGUCUCCAGGGGAGAGUACAUGGAACUGUAAAGAUCUCCUGAGGCACCAAAAUAGUGAGACAAGGUUGGGCGCAGAGGGGAAGUAAGAUGCUGCGGAUCAAAGGGUGAUCCCCAGAAUUUCAUCACUGGAGUGUCCUUCUUUGAGGCUAAGAUGCUGACCUUGUUAAAUACACUUGACCCUGGGAGAGCAAAUACUCAAAGCCUCUGCCAAUUAUCAGAUUUCCUCUCCUUGGCACUUUUUACUUGUGUGACCUUGGGCAAAUUGCUUAACUUUAUUGAGUCUGUUUCUUCAUCUGCAAAAUGGGAAUAAUUAGACCUCCCUUGAAGAGUUUGAUAGAGAUCAUAGACAUAAAAGGCUUGGCCCUAGAAGGUAGGUUGGCUGUCCUCUGGAGGACCCCCAUGAUCCCAGACCGGUUUGGAUACCUGGCAACAUUUUCUCUUCUCUUAUUCCUCAUAGACAGUGCCACAUCUGAUCCACCUUACCAUGGUUCUGGCCUCACCAUGUUAAUAUCACUUCCUUGUAUCAUCUUUAUCUCCCCACUGACUAUUCUAAUUCAGGCUUUGCCACCUGUCACCUGGAAUACGGCUGUCAUCCUGCUUCUUAAGAACAAAGCGG